CCUACGGGAGGCAGCAGUGGGGAAUAUUGCACAAUGGGGGAAACCCUGAUGCAGCGACGUCGCGUGAGGGAAGAAGUAAUUCGGUAUGGAAAGCUCUAUCAGUAGGGAAGAAAAUGACGGUACCUGAGUAAGAAGCCGCGGCUAACUACGUGCCAGCAGGCGCGGCACUACGUAGGGGGCAAGCGUUAUCCGGAUUUACUGGGUGUAAAGGGAGUGUAGACGGCAGUGCAAGUGGGGAGGGAAAGGCGGGGGCUCAACCCCCAGCCUGCUGUGGAAACUGUACGGCUGGAGUGCAGGAGAGGUAAGUGGAAUUCCUAGUGUAGCGGUGAAAUGCGUAGAUAUUAGGAGGAACACCAGUGGCGAAGGCGGCUUACUG
rnacentral:rRNA from 1 species